rnacentral:lncRNA from 1 species
UAAGUCUUCCAUGUUAUCACGUACAUCAACAGAUUCAUUUAAAAUUGCAACUUCGGGAAUUUCUGUAUGAUUAAUUAGUAUUGUUCAUUUCCUCGCCAAGGUAUUCUUCUUCGGACUCUCGAUGCAGAGUCCAUCGGCGUUGCUCAUAAAGUUUAUCCCAACCCCUCCAAAGUAAAUGUUUAUGCACGAAUUCACGGUCCCCCCAUUUACGACACUUACAGUCUCUACAUGGGCAUCUUAUUUUAUUAUCAACGUCACAUUUAGCGAAGGCAAAA